UACGUAGGGCGCGAGCGUUGUCCGGAAUCAUUGGGCGUAAAGAGCUCGUAGGCGGCCUGUCGCGUCUGCUGUGAAAUCCCGGGGCUUAACCCCGGGCGUGCAGUGGAUACGGGCUGGCUGGAGGCAGGCAGGGGAGACUGGAAUUCCUGGUGUAGCGGUGAAAUGCGCAGAUAUCAGGAGGAACACCGGUGGCGAAGGCGGGUCUCUGGGCCGAUACUGACGCUGAGGAGCGAAAGCGUGGGGAGCGAACAGG
rnacentral:rRNA from 1 species